rnacentral:piRNA from 1 species
UGAAAGAGGCCCUUCUUAUGGUGAGAAC